CUUGAACGCUGGCGGCAGGCCUAACACAUGCAAGUCGAACGAGUGGCGGACGGGUGAGUAAUGUCUGGGAAACUGCCCGAUGGAGGGGGAUAACUACUGGAAACGGUAGCUAAUACCGCAUACCAUCGGAUGUGCCCAGAUGGGAUUAGCUUGUAGGUGAGGUAACGGCUCACCUAGGCGACGAUCCCUAGCUGGUCUGAGAGGAUGACCAGGACAACAGGAGCAGAGACACGGGCCAGAAGCCGACGAGGAGCAGCAGGGGGGAAUAUUGGACAGUGGGGGCAAGCCUGAAGCAGCCCUGCCGCGUGUAUGAUGGAGGCCUUCAGGUUGUAAAGUCCUUUCAGCGGAGAGGCAUUACCCGCAGAAGAAGCGCCGGCUAACUCCGUGCCAGCAGCCGCGGUAAUUC
rnacentral:rRNA from 1 species